AUUGAACGCUGGCGGAAUGCUUUACACAUGCAAGUCGAACGGCAGCACGGACUUCGGUCUGGUGGCGAGUGGCGAACGGGUGAGUAACAUAUCGGAACGUAUCCAAUAAUGGGGGAUAACGAGUCGAAAGAUUCGCUAAUACCGCAUACGACCUACGGGGGAAAGCUGGGGACCUUCGGGCCUGGCGUUAAUGGAGCGGCCGAUAUCUGAUUAGCUAGUUGGUGAGGUAAGGGCUCACGAAGGCGACGAUCAGUAGCUGGUCUGAGAGGACGACCAGCCACACUGGAACUGAGACACGGUCCAGACUCCUACGGGAGGCAGCAGUGGGGAAUUUUGGACAAUGGGCGCAAGCCUGAUCCAGCCAUUCCGCGUGAGUGAAGAAGGCCUUCGGGUUGUAAAGCUCUUUCGCAAGGGAAGAAAACUUAGCCACUAACAUUGGUUGAGGUUGACGGUACCUUGAUAAGAAGCACCGGCUAACUACGUGCCAGCCGCCGCGGUAA
rnacentral:rRNA from 1 species